GUUCGGAUUGAAGGCUGAAAUUCGCCUUCAUGAAGCUGGAAUUGCUAGUAAUGGCAGGUCAGCAUACUGCCGUGAAUACGUUCCCGGGCCUUGUACACACCGCCCGUCACACCAUGGGAGUCGGAAAUGCCCGAAGUCUGUGACCCAACCAUUAAGGAGGGAGCAGCCGAAGGCAGGUCGGAUGACUGGGGUGAAGUCGUAACAAGGUACC
rnacentral:rRNA from 1 species